AUGGCACGAGGCAACCUCGUUCGUGGGCUACCUCACAUCGAGCACGCUGAUGAGCUGUGUGAUGCAUGUCUUGCGGGGAAGCAACGACGUUUGCCGUUUCCCGAGAAGGCACGCUAUCGGGCGCAGAAACCCCUGGAGCUGGUUCACGCGGACCUCUGUGGCCCAAUCACCCCGGCAACGCCAGGAGGGCGUCGCUACAUCCUGCUGCUUGUCGACGACUAUAGCAGGUUCAUGUGGGUGCUGCUCCUCGCCUCCAAGGACGAGGCGGAGCAAGCCAUUGUCAAGCAGCAAGCGGCAGCAGAGGUCGAGUGCGGCCACAAGUUGCACGUGCUGCGCACGGACCGUGGCGGCGAGUUCACGUCGGCCACGUUCUACAAGCACUGCGACGAGAAAGGGAUGCAACGUCACCUCACAGCCCCUUACUCGCCGUAG
rnacentral:rRNA from 1 species